rnacentral:lncRNA from 1 species
CAUUAGCUCUAUCGGUCGCAUCUCCUCUGGCUACACAGAUGUGUGAAUGCUACAGAGAGAGACGGGCCAUUUUGACACACAAAUGAGUGUCAGCUGUUUGUCCCCUUGCAGCUGCUGAGCGAAAUGCUCCCCAACAAAGCAGAGAGAAAUGAUGCAAACUGAGGACUUGCUCCAUGUCCUUAAGAGAUGGGGACGGGGGGAGAAGGUGCUGAGAAAGACAGUGGUGUGUGUACAGGGUGAUUGUCAUGGUUACCUCUCUCUCUCUGACAAAACAAAUGGCACCACUUAAUGAUGGUCACCCAAACAGCUAUGGAAAAGUGUGUGUUAAUCAACUGGCUGCCAGCGGAGCUGGGUCCCUGCUAUGUGAAGCAGAAGCCUUCCCAGGAUCACAGACAGCCCCCAGGAGCUGGAGGGGAACGGUAGAGCUUUCGCAGAGGGACACAUGUUGCUGCAGCUUGCAGGAGACAAAAGGAGGCUGAAGCGGUGCUUGCUGCCGCCUCCCGGCUUGUCCGGGCUUUCUGGGCAGCCGCUCGCCCCAGCAGCCGGGCUCGGACCAUGGCAGGAGCCGGCAGGCGCGUGUGAAGUUGAUCCCGGCCUCCCCACCCCUCCUCCCGCCAGCCAAGGGCAGGUGAUUCAGCCUCCUUCCUCCCCGACCUGGCAGAUCUCACUUCCCCAAUGUCCUGACUGGCCUUUGCUAUCUGGAGACGGUGUGUCUGGGUGCAUUUAAUAACACAGAGUUGGCCAGGAAAUGCGAGGUAAAUCGAUGUCUUUCCCUGCGGCUGGCUCCCCCUUGCUCACAGAGAGCGUUGUGUAAAUCAUCCAGAGCCAGCCAAGGAGCGGUGCGGCUGCAGCUAUCCCUGGGAAUUCCUGCCCGAGAGCGAGUGUGGGGAGUUCGGGACGGAAAGGUACCCGCAAGAUCCUUCUCUGAAUUCCUCUGCCAGUCAGGCUGACAGACAUGUUGGGAGAAGAUUAGCUAAAGCGGAGGUUAGGCUGGCAGCGAGAACUGUUGCAAGGAAAAUUUAACUAACAGAAGCAUUAGAGGCAACAACUUUAAGUAUGAACAGCUCUGCUAAGGAGGCAAUGAACUGAGUCAUACUUUGCAGGCGUGAUGUGGAGACAGGGGGAGUGUGGAAGAGGAGUCAUUGCAUUUGCCUUGAAAUG